rnacentral:rRNA from 1 species
GGGGACAACCCGCCGAAAGGCGGGCUAAACCCGCGUACAUGCCACCGGGGCAUCCCGGAGGCAGGAAAGGCUUCGGCCGGACAGGGAUGGGCAUGCGGCGCAUUAGGCAGUAGGCGGGGUAACGGCCCACCUAACCGACGAUGCGUAGGGGUUCUGAGAGGAAGGUCCCCCACACUGGUACUGAGACACGGACCAGACUCCUACGGGAGGCAGCAGUGAGGAAUAUUGGUCAACGGUCGGGAGACUGAACCAGCCAAGCCGCGUGAGGGAGGAAGGUACAGAGUAUCGUAAACCUCUUUUGUCAGGGAACAAAGACUGGGACGCGUCCCCGGAUGAGUGUACCUGAAGAAAAAGCAUCGGCUAACUCCGUGCCAGCAGCCGCGGUAAUACGGAGGAUGCGAGCGUUAUCCGGAUUUAUUGGGUUUAAAGGGUGCGCAGGCGGUCUGUUAAGUCAGCGGUCAAAGCCCGGGGCUCAACCCCGGCCCGCCGUUGAAACUGGCAGUCUCGAGUUGGAGAGAAGUAUGCGGAAUGCGCGGUGUAGCGGUGAAAUGCAUAGAUAUCGCGCAGAACUCCGAUUGCGAAGGCAGCAUGCCGGCUCCACACUGACGCUGAGGCACGAAAGCGUGGGUAUCGAACAGGAUUAGAUACCCUGGUAGUCCACGCAGUAAACGAUGAA